GUACAUUUCAUGGACGAUGAUUCUUCUAAGUUAUAGAAUACAAAAGCAGGACAUAACUAUUAACUAAGGAAAAACAUUCAAAUUCUUAAGCCUUUUCCUGGUAUCUUAUUUUGGAGAACGAUAGAUCGCUACUGAGGAUUAGGAGGACGGCUAUUAGCUGCAGAAACACGCGAUCCCCAUUCCAAAAGCUCUUUGCUAGUAUCAUCCUUGUGCACAAAGACUUCAAUGAAACACAAGGAGUCCUUGUGUGUGCUUGUCGCUGUUGCUAUAGCCUCAGUUAGGUCCUCCUCCGUCUUUACCUUUGCAGUCCAACAUUUGCCUUCGCCAUUAUGGAUAGCAUUCACAAGACCAGUGUAGUCCCAAUUCUUAAUCACGUUAUAUGGGCCAUCAUGAAUCUCUACUUCA
rnacentral:misc_RNA from 1 species